CGAGUUUGAUCCUGCCUCAGAUUGAACGCUGGCGGCAUGCCUUACACAUGCAAGUCGAACGGCAGCACGGGAGCAAUCCUGGUGGCGAGUGGCGAACGGGUGAGUAAUAUAUCGGAACGUGCCCAGUCGUGGGGGAUAACGUAGCGAAAGCUACGCUAAUACCGCAUACGAUCUACGGAUGAAAGGCGGGGGAUCGCAAGACCUCGCGCGGACGGAGCGGCCGAUGGCAGAUUAGGUAGUUGGUGGGAUAAAAGCUUACCAAGCCGACGAUCUGUAGCUGGUCUGAGAGGACGACCAGCCACACUGGGACUGAGACACGGCCCAGACUCCUACGGGAGGCAGCAGGUGGGGUAAUUUUGGACAAUGGGGGAAACCCUGAUCCAGCCAUGCCGCGUGCAGGAUGAAGGCCUUCGGGUUGUAAACUGCUUUUGUACGGAACGAAAAGACUCUUUCUAAUACAGAGGGUCCAUGACGGUACCGUAAGAAUAAGCACCGGCUAACUACGUG
rnacentral:rRNA from 1 species